rnacentral:rRNA from 1 species
AUUGAACGCUGGCGGCAUGCCUUACACAUGCAAGUCGAACGGCAGCGGGGGAGAAGCUUGCUUUUCCUGCCGGCGAGUGGCGAACGGGUGAGUAAUACAUCGGAACGUGCCCUGUAGUGGGGGAUAACUAGUCGAAAGAUUAGCUAAUACCGCAUACGACCUGAGGGUGAAAGUGGGGGACCGCAAGGCCUCAUGCUAUAGGAGCGGCCGAUGUCUGAUUAGGUAGUUGGUGGGGUAAAGGCUCACCAAGCCGACGAUCUGUAGCUGGUCUGAGAGGACGACCAGCCACACUGGGACUGAGACACGGCCCAGACUCCUACAGGAGGCAGCAGUGGGGAAUUUUGGACAAUGGGCGAAAGCCUGAUCCAGCAAUGCCGCGUGCAGGAAGAAGGCCUUCGGGUUGUAAAGCUCUUUCGGCAGGAACGAAACGGUGGCUACUAGUACUAGCUACUAAUGACGGUACCUGAAGAAGAAGCACCGGCUAACUACGUGCCAGCAGCCGCCGUAA